CUAUGAUCCAGAGAUUUCCGAAUGGGGGAACCCAACAUCUUUAAUAGGAUGUUACGAUUGUGUGAAUACAUAGCACAUUCGAGGUAGACGCAGAGAACUGAAACAUCUAAGUACCUGCAGGAAGAGAAAGAAAAUUCGAUUCCCUGAGUAGCGGCGAGCGAAACGGGAAAAGCCCAAACCAGCAAGCUUGCUUGUUGGGGUUGUAGGACUCCAAUAUGGUAGUUCUUUCAGAUAGUCGAAUGACUUGGAAAAGUCAGUCAAAGAGGGUAAAAACCCCGUAGACGAAAUGUGGAAGACACCUAGGAGGAUCCUGAGUACGGCGGAACACGAGAAAUUCCGUCGGAAUCCGGGAGGACCAUCUCCCAAGGCUAAAUACUCCCUAGUGACCGAUAGUGAACCAGUACCGUGAGGGAAAGGUGAAAAGCACCCCGGAAGGGGAGUGAAAUAGAACCUGAAACCGUGUGCCUACAACAAGUCAAAGCCCGUUAAUGGGUGAUGGCGUGCCUUUUGUAGAAUGAACCGGCGAGUUACGAUUGCAUGCGAGGUUAAGUUGAAGAGACGGAGCCGCAGCGAAAGCGAGUCUGAAUAGGGCGUUUGAGUAUGUAGUCGUAGACCCGAAACCAUGUGAUCUACCCAUGUCCAGGUUGAAGGUGCGGUAAAACGCACUGGAGGACCGAACCCACGUACGUUGAAAAGUGCGGGGAUGAGGUGUGGGUAGCGGAGAAAUUCCAAACGAACUUGGAGAUAGCUGGUUCUCUCCGAAAUAGCUUUAGGGCUAGCCUCGGAAUU
rnacentral:rRNA from 1 species